rnacentral:tRNA from 1 species
GGGGAUGUAGCUCAGCAGCAUAGCGCCUGCCUGUCAAGCACGAGGCCCUGAGUUCAAUUCCUAGCAAACACA